rnacentral:siRNA from 1 species
CAUAGGAGGUUGCACACUCUCAAC